AGGACGAACGCUGGCGGCGUGCUUAACACAUGCAAGUCGAGCGGAAAGGCCCUUCGGGGUACUCGAGCGGCGAACGGGUGAGUAACACGUGAGCAAUCUGCCCUUAGCUUCGGGAUAGCCCCGGGAAACCGGGAUUAAUACCGAAUACGACCUCGGCCGACAUCGGCUUUGGUGGAAAGUUUUUCGGCUAGGGAUGAACUCGCGGCCUAUCAGCUUGUUGGUGGGGUAAUGGCCUACCAAGGCGACGACGGGUAGCCGGCCUGAGAGGGCGACCGGCCACACUGGGACUGAGACACGGCCCAGACUCCUACGGGAGGCAGCAGUGGGGAAUAUUGCGCAAUGGGCGAAAGCCUGACGCAGCGACGCCGCGUGGGGGAUGAAGGCCUUCGGGUUGUAACCCCUUUCAGCAGGGACGAAGCGAGAGUGACGGUACCUGCAGAAGAAGCGCCGGCUAACUACGCGCCAGCAGCCGC
rnacentral:rRNA from 1 species